AUCCAAGAGAAGUAUAUGGGCAUAAGGGGGCAGGACUCCAAAAACACACCCACUUUUAUCAGCUCAAAAACCACCAGAUAAAUAUAGGUGCAACACUGACUUUAGGCGCAUAUUCACUUCACCUUGAGCUCAGGAAGACACUUGUGUUCUACUUUCAUCAUCAAGCCAAAAUGAGCGAUCCAGAACAACAAAAAAAGCCAGAACAGGAGGAGGAAUCAGGAUCAGGAUCUGAAGGAGAGGAAGGAAAGAAAAAAGGAAAGGGAAAAGGUCACGGACAUGGUCAUGGAAAAGACGGACACGGUCAUGGACAUGGAGGAGAAGGACAUGGACACGGACAUGGAGGUGGAAGAGGUGGCAAGUGAAAGAGACCACUGAGGCGACCCUAAAUAAAAUGAUAAAAAGUCAUUAUUUUGUCAAAAAGAUUAAUGUAUGAUUGUAUUGCAUUCCUCAUUAAAUAAUCUACAAAAUAAGAA